GGGCCUGUAGCUCAGCGGAUAAGAGCACGUGGCUACGAACCACGGUGUCGGGGGUUCGAAUCCCUCCUCGCCCA
rnacentral:tRNA from 8 species